CCUACGGGAGGCAGCAGUGAGGAAUAUUGCUCAAUGGACGAAAGUCUGAAGCAGCGACGCCGCGUGAGGGAUGAAGUCCGUUUGGAUGUAAACCUCUUUUGCAGAAGAAGAAUGUUUCGAUUUCUCGAAAUUGACGGUAUUUUGCGAAUAAGCACCGGCUAACUACGUGCCAGCAGCCGCGGUAAUACGUAGGGUGCGAGCGUUGUCCGGAAUUACUGGGUGUAAAGGGUCCGCAGGCGGGCGAGUAAGUCUGUGGUGAAAUCUUACGGCUUAACCGUAAAUUGCCACGGAAACUGCUUGCCUUGAGUGUGAAAGAGGAAGAUGGAAUUCAUGGUGUAGCAGUGAAAUGCGUAGAUAUCAUGAAGAACACCGGUAGCGAAGGCGAUCUCUGGUUCACAACUGACGCUCAGGGACGAAAGCGUGGGGAGCAAACAGGAUUAGAUACCCUGGUAGUCCACGACC
rnacentral:rRNA from 1 species